AACGCGUACACAAUCUACCUCUAAAGCGGGGGACACCUCCUGGAAACGGGGAUUAAUACCGCAUAAUAUGCCGAAGUACGCAUGACUUUGGUAUUAAAGCAGCAAUGCACUUAGAGAUGAGUGUGCGUCCCAUUAGGUAGUUGGUGAGGUAACGGCUCACCAAGCCUAUGAUGGGUAGCCGGUCUGAGAGGAUGGUCGGCCACACGGGCACUGAGACACGGGCCCGACUCCUACGGGAGGCAGCAGUAAGGAAUAUUGGUCAAUGGUGGAAACACUGAACCAGCCAUGCCGCGUGGAGGAAUAAGGUCCUACGGAUUGUAAACUCCUUUUGACGAGGAAGAAAAUGUUAGAUUUAUCUAAUUUUGACGGUACUCGUAGAAUAAGCACCGGCUAACUCCGUG
rnacentral:rRNA from 1 species